rnacentral:sRNA from 1 species
CAGGUAUUUGGAUAGUUGUUUUUUGUUUGAGAAGAUUCGCUGGUUCCAUAAUAGUUCAUUUGGCUAAUUUUAUUUUAUUUUUUCUAUACUGGAUGACCUAGACCUAUUUCAAAAAGUGUCUUGACAAUAGGUGGGGAAACUCUUCUCAUAAUAUAUGGUCUGCAUAUGGCAUACAAAGAUUGUGACUGUUCUGUCUCCCUUGUUUUAAUAGAUGGAACACUCCUCACCAAAAUAGAGCGAUAUCUGAAACAAGGAAUUGUAGAUAAGAAUCCAAUUGUUGCAAGUGCAUCCUUAGUUAGCGGCAUUCAUCUGCUUCAGGUCAAAAGUGUACUUAGGUUUCUUUUCAUUUAACUAUCUAAGCUUAUAAACUCAAUUGCUUUGAUAAGAAGUGGCAGAAGUAAUGUUAAAAUAAACAAAAAAAAGUCUCAACAAGAUAUUGUCCGUGCUCUGGC